rnacentral:rRNA from 1 species
UACGUAGGUGACAAGCGUUAUCCGGAAUUAUUGGGCGUAAAGGGCUCGUAGGCGGUUUGUCGCGUCGGGAGUGAAAUCCACUGGCUUAACUGGUGGCUUGCUUUCGAUACGGGCAGACUGGAGGUAUGCAGGGGAGAACGGAAUUCCUGGUGUAGCGGUGAAAUGCGCAGAUAUCAGGAGGAACACCGGUGGCGAAGGCGGUUCUCUGGGCAUGUCCUGACGCUGAGGAGCGAAAGUGUGGGGAGCGAACAGG